AUGGGAUUCUGCUGUGGGCCUUCCGAUGUCAAGGUGCUCCCAAAUAACACCUGCUUGUCGUCAGCGUCCUCCUCAUCGUCAUCGCCUGGUAAAGAUUCGGGCGACGGUGGCAAGAAGAAGCAGCGGCAAGGUGUGAAGAAGGAGCAGGGGAGGGAGAAGAAGAAAAGCAACCUUGACCGGGCCGCCAUGGCGACGCCCCGCCUCCCCUUCCAUUCUCGGCCGGCUUACGGCGAAGGUUGGAGCUUAGGAUUGAAUAGUUUCGGCUGCUCGGUUGAAGUUUCAACGUCCUCCUCAUCGUCAUCGCCUGCCAAAGAUUCACGCGACGGUGGCAAAAAGAAGCAGCAGCAAGGUGUGAAGAAGGAGCAGGGGAGGGAGAAGAAGAAGAGCAACCUUGACCGGGCCGCCAUGGCGACGCCCCGCCUCCCCUUCGAUUCUCGGCCCGGUCUCAUGUAA
rnacentral:rRNA from 1 species